GCCAAUUGCAAGAUUGCUUUGUAUUUUCCGUAGUGUUGAUUCAAUAAACAUCGUUUCUCUGCGUUAAUACUUUUGUUCCUUUUUACAACUUAAACCUUGUUUCGUGAUGUGAUCUUGUUUGCUUCAAUAUUGUCAUUAGAAUUUCGUUCUCUACAAUCCAGUUUGGAAUCAACGUGUGUUAUUGGAGCUUUCGCGCCUCAACAAGUGGUAUUAGAGCUAGGCUGUUGAUUUUCUAUGGACUGGUUGAGAUUUUUUUUCGAGAUGGCUAGGUUGAAGUAUGAUAUUCUGCAAUUAGAUUGCAAUACAAAGUUCUCGUUGUGACAAGUAAAAAUGAAGGUUGUCUUAGAGCAGUUGGAUUUGGAAGAUGCGUUGCUGGGAUUUGACAGGAUGCCAACCGAUUGGACAACGGAGGAGAAAUAACGAAAGAUUGGAAGGCUGUGUCGUUGAUUCGUCUUAAUUAUCCAACAAUAUUCUGCAGGAUAUCUUAAAGGAGAAAAUUGCCGCUACUUUGUGGUUGAGAUUGGAGCAAUUGUGUAUGACUAAGAGUCUUACAAGUAAACUGGCUUUUCGCAUGGUGGAAGGAGAGUCGAUGGAAGACCAUGUUGCCGUAUUCAAAGACAUAGUUGUAGAUCUGAAAACGUUGAAGGUUAAGUACGAUAAAGAGGAUCUUACCUUGAUCUUGUUGUGUUCGCUGCCUGGGUCUUAUGCGUCAUUCCGGGAUACUUUCUUGUAUAGUCUAGAUACUUUGACUAUAAAAGAUGUCUAUGAUGUUUUUCACUCAAAAGAGAAGAUGAAGUAUUUGACUGGAGUUAAAUUAAGGGAUGGGAAAGCUCUUGUGUCUCAAGGUGGUCGACGAAGAGACAGAUCAAGAGUUAGAUUUAGCAAUGUGAACUAUUACUAUUGUAAAAGGAAGGGACAUAUUCGAAAGGAUUGUGAUAUGUUGCAGGCUAAAGGUGAUUUAGUUGCUAAUCUUAGGAUGUAACCUUUGAAUUCAGACGAAAUCAAUGUAGUUGAAAAUUGUUCAGAUAGUGAAGAUAUAAUGUUGACCGUGGUAUCUGAUAUGGAAUCUAGGCCUGACGAUGAGUGGAUUCUUGAUUCAGCAUGUUAGCACCAUAUGUGUUUCGAUAGGAAUUUAUUUCAGACAUAUGAGGUUGUUCAGUUAGAUGGAAUUGUAAUGGGAAACAAUCAAUCUUGUCGUAUUGCUGGGAUCGGUUGAGUCAGAUUAAGACUACGAGGUGGAACAUUUAGAACAAUUGAUCAGAUUUGACAUAUUCCUGACUUGAAAACGAAUAUCAUUUCCCUGAGUACCUUGAAUGCAAAAGGGUAUAAAUUCUCUGAAAGAGGUGGAGUCUUGAAAGUCCGAAAGGGAGUCUAAAUUGUAUUGGAGGGAUGGAGGAGAUGCCAGUUUUACAUUUUGCAGAGGAGUGCAGAACAUGUUAGGAGACAUUUGGACAAAUUUAGUACUGUGGUGGAAGUUCAGUUUGGUACAAUAUCUCUUGGAUUGGGCUCUGAGUCGGUUCAUAACACUGCUAGGGAGAGCGUUGGUGAUUUCGCUUUGCCACCAAUUUUAGCGAGUAUACGGUAUUUAGUCUUUAGGGUAGGACCCAUCAAACGUAGGUACUGUAGUGUCAGCAAUGUCUAGGAUGCUUCUGAGAAAGUUGAAGGCGACAGUUUCAGCAAGGAGUCUUUUGAUCAAGCAUCUUGUUUGGUUCUUGCUACAGGGUGUGCUUCGGCUCUGUGUGAUCAACAUUAAUUUUUUGGUGGAAUUGGGAAUCCUGGGGAUUGGGUUCGGGUGUCGAUUGUGGAUGCUGGACAGAUGACGAGUGUUUAGUUUAUAUGUAGUGGUUACUGUGUUGAGGGAUUUAGCCAGUUAAUUUCGAUGUAGAUGAAUUUGAAUUUAAGAGUUUCGUUUGUAACAUCGAAAAUUGCGUUAAGAUGGAGAUUGUUAGGUUUGGUGACUCAAAUGUGUUAGGAUUAUUGUUGAUUUAGAAUUUGACCAAGUGGAAUCCUAGAAAUUGGUUAGGAGUCUUUUAAAGAUGCGUGUUAGACGUUUACUUGGAAAGGGAAUCUAAUUGCAUCCAACUAAAGGAAACAAAAUCCUAUUGAAAUUGGGUCUUCUAAUUGUAGUAUAUUUUUUUGCCUUUUAGGAUUCUUCUAGGAUUGACCUAUAAAUACAAAGCUCCUCUAUCAAUUUUAAAAAAUGUAACAAAUAGAAGUCAAUUGCUAGAUUGCUUUGUAUUCUCCAUAUUGUUGAUUCAAUAAGCAUCGUUCCUCUGGGUUAAUCAUUUUGUUCCUCUUUACAAUUUAAACAUUGUUUUGUGGUGUGAUCUUGUUUACUUCAAUAUCGUCAUUUCAAUUUUGUUCUCUAUAAUUCGGUUUGAAAUCAACGUGUGUUAUUGGAGCUUCCGGACCCCAACAUUUUUCUCUUGCAAUGGAAAUAUUGACGACUAGAGUACAUCCUUGCACCUCGGAAAUGUUAUAGGAUGAGGGCUAAUAUGAGCAUUUAGAGGAAUGGACUUUGAAGAUGGGAUUAUGGUGCACAAAGUUUUCAGUCAAAAAGUAAUGGCAUUUCUUCCUUCGGCUUUCAAUAGGAUGAGAUGUAUCUUGAAGAUAAACUCGUAUUGGAGCUGCAGUGUUUUGGUCUGUAUCUUAAGACCAUAGUAUGCUUCAACUUUGUAAGUGAAUAUAUAACUAAUUUUUUUUUAUUUUUUUAUUUUUUGUUGUUAAAGGACAAAAGUUUAUUCAUAAAUUCAGUAGCGCGGCACCAAAAAAGCACUUGUGUCGCACAUGAUGUAUUUAUAAUUGUGUAUUUAAUAGCGUUCAUGUAUUGAUAGUGUGCUGGAAAAGUUGUAGUUGUCCUUAGUUUGAUUGAUAGUUUUGUCUCAACUCAAAAAUUUUGGAUCAAUUUGUGUAAUCCAUCAAACUUUGGCCAAAAGAUCAAAUGUUGAAUCAAGGAAGCUAGGACAGCUUUUUUACAGCGACGAUUCUAAACUAAUUAAAUCCCUUAAAAUUUUCAAACUAAACCAGCAUCAUAUGAAUAUAUAUCUCAAAACUGUCACAAUCUUCUUGAUAAUCAUCCUCAAGAAAAUGAAACUAUAAUUAAAAAGUGCUCAUCCUUACUUAAAACGAAUGCAUAAUUUCCAGAAAUUUUUAAUGAAAUUGCCCUCACUCCGUCAAUGUGAUGGCCGAACAGCUCGAUCAAAUAUAUAAUUCUAAUUUUUGCAAAAAUGAAAAUUGUGUAGCGUUUUUCCUCAAACGGGCAAAAUAUCGCUAGUGAGGGAGAGAAAAACUUAGCGAGAUGCUGUGAAAUAAUUGCUUUUUCUGAAAUAAGCAAUGAUUUAACAAAUUGAACUUGGACAUGAGACCUUGCCCAUGAAGUAAAUCAUUGCACUUACGGUCCAACCAAUUGGAGAGUCAAUAGAGUCCUCUCCGGAACACCAAGACUACGUAUUUUGGAUGAAAACGUGAAUAGUGUAAAUAUAAAGUACUCUUAUAGUUUAGUUAGGACAUGGUAACCGUUCAUUCUACAUCCAUCUCAUACAAGGAAAUAAAUGUCGAUGAUGAGAUCCUUUAUAGAUAUAUCAAAUACAAUAGAGGUUCCAAAAAUAUUUGUUAAGAGCGUCUAAAGAUCACUCAAAAAUUACAGAGCUUACACCGACUUCUUGGUGUUUGGUGGGAGAAGAUAACCGGUGUUUCGACCAUUCUUCCUAGGCUUUGCGAUGAAGAGCUUUCAUAUGAAUAUAAGGCCUUCUUUCUCGGAUUAACUUUUCAGCAUUUUUCCAAUCUUCUGCCAAGCCAAGAGCUAAAAGCAGUGCACACAUCACUGCAACACUUGGGCCAUGACCUAAGAAUGUUUCAAGGCAAUGGUUAGGAACAACUGAAUUAUAACGUUUUAUUCCAGCAGACAUGGGCAAAUAGAAUCAAGAAAGAGCAAUUCGGUAUCAGUGUGCAGGCGAGAAUUACCAACUUAGUUUAUGGAUGAAGCCAUAUGAAGCAUUGUUUGAUAUGAAGAUGGGGAGGAAGGAAAAAGAAUGGGACAGGGACUGGGGUUUUAAAUAUCAAAGUGAAGGGCAUCUUACUUCUUCUCAAUUGUACGGUAAGAGGGAAUAGGCGGGGGAGGAGGGAGGGGAAACUAUCUAGAUAAGGAGUUCACCUGAUAAUCCAUGCUUCGUUCUUGAUUCUGAAAGUAAGAAUAGGUCUCCACUGAACUUCUCUGAGCCAAUUGUUGGUAUCCAAAUUCAGAAAAAUGGCAACCCAAAUCAAAUUUUCUCUUGUAGAGGAAACACUGAUAACAAUAGAAUCGCAGUGCAAGAGUACAUCCAUGCAACUCUGAACUGCUACAGAGAUUGCCAGUAGAAUGAGAUGUGUCUUAAAGACAAUAUCAUACAGAGUGUUAGUCUGUAUUCUGAAAUCAUACUAUACUACAGUUUGGGAAGAGAAUAAAAAUAACUGAAUUUUUCACUUUUUUCAGGACUUCUUUUCUUCUUCAUAAAUUGCCGUUCCUGUUUUACUACUCGUUUGGAAUUUUAUACAUUAUUUGUGGAAUAUAUAACUGAUGUGAAAUUUUUCAAUUUUAUUUCUAAAUAUUUUCAUACUACUUACACAAUAAAGGUACUCGUUUUGAUUGCAAGUAAGAGUUACUUUUCGAAUAACUUAAUUAUUUCUAACAUUAAACAACAAAAAAUAUUUAUUUUGCAAGCACAAAAUUGCACGUGAUCUAGUUGUAACUUUGUGUUUAAUAGAACAAAAAAUGCACAUGCAUCACAAGUGAUGUUUUCGCAACUGUGUUAUCGUGAAUGUAUUUAAAGUGUGAUGAAAAAGUUGAAAUAGUCCUCAAUUUGAUUAAUAUUUUUGAAUUUGUGGAAUUUGUCCAGCAGCUGCAGGAUUCCUCUCGGCUUGAAAGCCUAGAUACAGAAUGACAGACUCCACAUGACAUUAUCAAAGGCUUCUAUAAGCUCUUAUUGUGGAAGAUGGACUUGAAGAAUGCAAAGAAAAUGGAGUUGGAAGAUCAAGUUCACCUCAAAAUCCGUGCUUCGUUCUUGAUUCUGAAAUUGAAAAAUAGGUCUCCGCUGAACUUCUCUGAGCCAAUUGUUGGCAUCGAAACUCAGAAAAAUGGCAACCCAGAUCAAUUUUUCUCUUGCAAUGGAAAUAUUGACGACUAGAGUACAUCCUUGCAACUCUGAAAUGCUACAGAGUGAGGGCGAGUAUGAGCAUUUAGAGGGCUAGAAUUUGAAGAUGGGAUUGUGGUGCACAAAGUUUUCAGUCAAAAAGUAAUGGCAUUUCUUCCUUCGACUGUCAGUAGGAUGAGAUGUGUCUCGAAGACAAACUCGUUUUGGAGCUGAAGAGUUUUGGUCUAUAUCUUGAAACCAUAGUAUGCUUCAACUUUGUAAGUGAAUAUAUAACAGAUUUUUUAUUUUUAAAGGACAAAAGUUUGUUCAAAAAUUCAGCUGGACAACACUGAAACUCAGCCGCGCGGCACCAAAAAAGCACGUGUGUCGCACGUGAUGUAUUUGUAAUUGAUAGUGUGAUGAAAAAGUGGAAGUCGUAGUAAGCUUGAUUGAUAGUCUUAUCUCGUCUAGAAAAUUUUGGAUCUAAGAAGUUAGUAAAUCUUUUUCACAGCUACCAUUCCAAACUCAU
rnacentral:lncRNA from 1 species